UACGAAGGGGGCUAGCGUUGUUCGGAAUUACUGGGCGUAAAGCGCACGUAGGCGGACAUUUAAGUCAGGGGUGAAAUCCCAGAGCUCAACUCUGGAACUGCCUUUGAUACUUGGGUGUCUUGAGUAUGGAAGAGGUGAGUGGAAUUCCGAGUGUAGAGGUGAAAUUCGUAGGAUAUUCGGAGGAACACCAGUGGCGAAGGGCGGCUCACUGGUCCAUUA
rnacentral:rRNA from 1 species